rnacentral:tRNA from 1 species
UCCCCGAUAGUUUAAUGGUUAGAAUGGGCGCUUGUCGCGUGCCAGAUCGGGGCUCAAUUCCCCGUCGAGGAG